AUGUUAUUGGAGCUGAAAUUGAGAAGCAUUCCAGAGCUCUGGCUAGAAGACUGCUGGCCUUGGGUUCAGAUGUAUCUGCUUUGCCCCAGAGUGUGGUGUGUAAAUCACCUGCUUUCACAGCACAGGUGAGCUCCUGGUCCUCCUGUCAGACAAAUGCUACAGAACAGAAAGACAGACAACAGAGAAUUAACAAACAAUAAAACACACUUGGUUAACUGUACUUUCCACCAGUGUGCUACUUAGUUGUUUUCAGCAAUACACUCCUGGAAAAUGUGAUAAUGGUGAGUCAGUGUAUAUAUGUUUUCCAUCCUCUUAUUAGCAUUGCAGCAAAUUGAGUGCUUCAUCUGCUCUCAAUUUCAAGAGCUACUUUCUUGGCUACUCCGGCCUUUCUGCUUUGUCUCCAGUAGCCUGGGAUCUGUUGUUCAGCAAAGAUGUCUUGAGACGUACGGAGACUAUCACUGGAGAAAACAAAACUGCCGAGGCUGCAGGCUGGGGAAAAGAGGAUGUCAGAUGGGAAACAAGCAUUUGGGGUGGGGAGGGGAGGCAGAAGAAAAGGGGCUUUCCACUUGUAUUGGCACAUGGCAGCAGCUUACAUGCUUGUGUGAUAUUAACUUCCUUCUCAUUACAGUGUGGAAACCUUUGGCAUCCUGAACCUCGCAAAUACAAACAGAUGUCCCCAGGCAGACCAGCCCACUGCUGCUCCCUGCAGCAUCGACAUCUCUUGCACGCAAGGUAUGAAGAGAAAGGAGAACCAUUCCAUCUUGACUGUGCAUCUUUGUGUUACAAAAGAUUUGGGAAAUUCCCUGGGGACUCUAAUGAAAUCUGCAAGUAAUAAGGAGUCCAUCAGUGGGCCCACUAUGUGAAAGAUGGGCAGUAAAGCACAAUGGAGAAAAGGACUGUUCUCAUGGAUCAGGCACAAGGCUGGAAUUGGGAGGCUGAACGUAGCUCUGCUGAAGACUUCAGGUCUGAUUGUUCCCUAACUGCUUCCAUAUUAGUGUAAAUCUGCUUUUCUUAUUUCCUGUCUGAUUCGUUGUAUUUUUUAUGUGGCCAGUUAUCUCACAAACCUCUCAUCCCAUCCCCCUGCAGAGAUACUGCAUGGAUUUUGUGCUGUUAUCUGAGUCUGAAAACCAAUGAGCUGAAAGGCAGCUUAAACUCUUUGUGUAUAACUGUGAAAGAUUUGUCUGAACCUCCCAUUUCUCUUGUAUACUGUGCACAUUGUGCUUUCCCACUGCUUUGAAGCUUCAUUGGUCUGAGAAGCCCAUCCUAGACUAGACUUGUACAGCAAAGCUGUAUACAAACAGGAAAAAAAAUUCUGUGAGGGCACUUGAUAUGAAUGAUAUGAAUGGCUUUGUGUUUUGAAUAAGGGAAACACAUAUGGCCCUGACAUGACUGAUUAUGGGGGAAGGAUGGUUAUGAGGUUUGGCGAGAGGCCUGUGACACUGAGUAAAUAGGAGUCACAUCUCUCACUCAUUGAUGCACAUGUUGUUGGUGCUUUGUAUGUAAUAACCAAAUACACAGUAUGAAAAUAGAGAGGAACAUUGAGUUUGAAAAUGUCGUUAUCUGUUUCAAAAUUAAUCUUCCAGUGACUUAACCUACGAGUAGGGAAAGCGUGGCCCAACAUGGGGAGAGACUAAAGUGAUGAGAAAACAUUACUGCUCUGUGGGCAUUUGCUGGUGUGAUUUCACCAACGUCAGCAGAAAGGUGCUAAUGGAACAUCUGUGCUGUACCAGCCAAGGAUUUGGCACAAGGUAUCCUAGUGAGCUCAUUCACAGGGGCACUCUUCUAUACAGAUGUUUUAGCAGUUGAUAGCAAACUGCCUGAGAAAUUUUAGAUUAUCCUGCUUUGACUUAUUCCAAUAGAAAGAGUUCCAUGUCAAAAAUGGGGCUGUAAUAUGAUUCUGUAUGAUCCAAGCUGUAUAAUAAGUCUUAAUGGAAAUAGCCUUGUCUGAACGAUUCAUUGUGCUGUUUUUCCUUUUUUAACAUUACGAUUUAAGAUUCUUUUAAAGUUUCAGGCACUUUUAAAGUAUUUAAAUUAUACUAAGAGUUUUAAGUUGUGUCUCUAUAAACUAUGCACCCAAUUUGGGGAAGGAGAGAAGGUGAGAAAUGCUCAUUUCUUUAUUGGCUGGAGGAUGCUCAAACGUGAUGGCAGCAGAAUCGAGACUGUCAAAACAAUAAAAGGAAGUGUUAACACUGAUAAUUAUAUUAUUCAAACAAUUUGAAAUCCUUGGAGGGUGCAGUUCUAAUGAUGCAUUGUAAAACAAAUUGUGUUUCAUAGCUUGAGAGAGUUGUAAAACAAUAAACUAAUUAAGACACCUUUUGUCUAUCUGCUCCUAUGUGCCUCUGUGUGUGGUCAGGGAAGUUUUAUGAGUAUUAACAAGGUAUGCUUACUUCCUAUUUUUAGUAGUUGUAGCCACUGUAAGUCUGUUUUAAAGACUGAAUAUUCCAAAUCCAAUUACAAGAAAAAAGAAAACCAAUCUGAAGCACAGUGUAGUUGUGCUGCUGCCCCAGCAGCUUGUUAGACCUCAUCCCUUCAGAUUUGCUCUUCUUUCUCCAAAAUGAAGAUGCGACACCAUCUUAAACUGGGCUGCAGCUGAACUUGGGACUUCUGGUGAGGGUGAGUCCCAGCCAGUGUAAGCUCUCUCGAAGUUUGGAUGCAUUUUGUCUCUGUGCACAGAAAGCAACUGAAAGCAAGAACCGUGGGUGGCAACCAGUUUGAUGAUCGUUUCCUCCAGUGUCUUACUAAAUAUGACCACAGUAUAAAGUAUUAGACUGGGCUAAGGGGUGGUUACUUUGUGCACAAGAAGCACGAAAAGUGCGUACCUCUUUACAGGGAGGCUUUUGGACUAGUUCUGCGAUGUUUCACUUUAGCAAAAAAGUUAAUUUGAUUUGGUGGUUUUGGAUUUUUAUGGCAUAUAAGGUUUUGAUUCU